rnacentral:rRNA from 1 species
UGAGUGCGAGCUUGGGAGACAGACAUCGGGUGCUAACGUCCGGUGUCAAGAGGGAAACAACCCAGACCGCCAGCUAAGGUCCCAAAGAUUGGCUAAGUGGAAAACGAAGUGGGAAGGCUAAAACAGUCAGGAUGUUGGCUUAGAAGCAGCCACCAUUUAAAGAAAGCGUAAUAGCUCACUGAUCGAGUCGUCCUGCGCGGAAGAUGUAACGGGGCUAAGCCAGUCACCGAAGCUGCGGAUAUAUUUCUCGUGAUUUAUCACUUGAUCUAUAUGGUAGGAGAGCGUUCUGUAAGCCUGCGAAGGUGUCUUGUAAAGGAUGCUGGAGGUAUCAGAAGUGCGAAUGCUGACAUGAGUAGCGAUAAUGCGGGUGAAAAGCCCGCACGCCGUAAGCCCAAGGUUUCCUGUUCAACGUUCAUCGGAGCAGGGUGAGUCGGCCCCUAAGGCGAGGCAGAGAUGCGUAGCUGAUGGGAAGCAGGUUAAUAUUCCUGCACCGUCGUAUGAUGCGAUGGGGGGACGGAUCGCGGAAGGUUGUCUAGCUGUUGGAAUAGCUAGUUUUUGACUCAUAGAAGGUGCUUAGGCAAAUCCGGGCACGUAAUUCAAGGGGUCGAGACGAGUCGCCACGUGCGACGAAUCAAUCGGAAGUGGUUCCAAGAAAAGCCUCUAAGCUUCAGUCAUACGAGACCGUACCGCAAACCGACACAGGUGGGCGAGAUGAGUAUUCUAAGGCGCUUGAGAGAACUCGGGAGAAGGAACUCGGCAAAUUGGUACCGUAACUUCGGGAUAAGGUACGCCCUAGUAGUUUGACCACUUUACUGUGGAAGGAUGAACGGGUUGCAAUAAAAUGGUGGCUGCGACUGUUUAAUAAAAACACAGCACUCUGCAAACACGAAAGUGGACGUAUAGGGUGUGACGCCUGCCCGGUGCUGGAAGAUUAAAUGAUGGGGUGCAAGCUCUUGAUUGAAGUCCCAGUAAACGGCGGCCGUAACUAUAACGGUCCUAAGGUAGCGAAAUUCCUUGUCGGGUAAGUUCCGACCUGCACGAAUGGCGUAACGAUGGCCACACUGUCUCCUCCCGAGACUCAGCGAAGUUGAAAUGUUUGUGAUGAUGCAAUCUACCCGCGGCUAGACGGAAAGACCCCAUGAACCUUUACUGUAGCUUUGCAUUGGACUUUGAAUCAAUCUGUGUAGGAUAGGUGGGAGGCUUUGAAGCGGGGACGCCAGUUCUCGUGGAGCCAUCCUUGAAAUACCACCCUGGUUCAUUUGAGGUUCUAACCUUGGUCCGUUAUCCGGAUCGGGGACAGUGCAUGGUAGGCAGUUUGACUGGGGCGGUCUCCUCCUAAAGUGUAACGGAGGAGUUCGAAGGUACGCUAGGUACGGUCGGACAUCGUGCUAAUAGUGCAAUGGCAUAAGCGUGCUUAACUGCGAGACCGACAAGUCGAGCAGGUACGAAAGUAGGACAUAGUGAUCCGGUGGUUCUGUAUGGAAGGGCCAUCGCUCAACGGAUAAAAGGUACUCUGGGGAUAACAGGCUGAUUCCUCCCAAGAGUUCAUAUCGACGGGGGAGUUUGGCACCUCGAUGUCGGCUCAUCACAUCCUGGGGCUGUAGCCGGUCCCAAGGGUAUGGCUGUUCGCCAUUUAAAGUGGUACGUGAGCUGGGUUUAAAACGUCGUGAGACAGUUUGGUCCCUAUCUGCCGUGGGCGUUGGAAAUUUGAAGGGGGCUGCUCCUAGUACGAGAGGACCGGAGUGGACGAACCUCUGGUGUACCGGUUGUCACGCCAGUGGCAUUGCCGGGUAGCUAAGUUCGGAAGAGAUAACCGCUGAAAGCAUCUAAGCGGGAAACUUGCCUUGAGAUGAGAUUUCCCGGAGCCUUGAGCUCCUUGAAGGGUCGUUCGAGACCAGGACGUUGAUAGGCUGGGUGUGGAAGUGCAGUAAUGCAUUAAGCUAACCAGUACUAAUUGCCCGUACGGCUUGUCCCU